rnacentral:rRNA from 1 species
GACGAACGCNGGCGGCGUGCCUAAUACAUGCAAGUAGAACGCUGAAGAGAGGGGCUUGCUCUUCUUGGAUGAGUUGCGAACGGGUGAGUAACGCGUAGGUAACCUGCCUGGUAGCGGGGGAUAACUAUUGGAAACGAUAGCUAAUACCGCAUAAAAGUAGUUAUUGCAUGAUAACUGUUUGAAAGGUGCAAAUGCAUCACUACCAGAUGGACCUGCGUUGUAUUAGCUAGUUGGUGGGGUAACGGCUCACCAAGGCAACGAUACAUAGCCGACCUGAGAGGGUGAUCGGCCACACUGGGACUGAGACACGGCCCAGACUCCUACGGGAGGCAGCAGAAGGGAAUCUUCGGCAAUGGACGGAAGUCUGACCGAGCAACGCCGCGUGAGUGAAGAAGGUUUUCGGAUCGUAAAGCUCUGUUGUAAGAGAAGAACGAGUGUGAGAGUGGAAAGUUCACACUGNGACGG